UACGUAGGUGGCAAGCGUUGUCCGGAUUUACUGGGCGUAAAGAGCGCGCAGGCGGUCGUUCAAGUCGCGUGUGAAAGCCCCCGGCUCAACUGGGGAGGGUCACGCGAUACUGAUCGACUCGAAGGCAGGAGAGGGUAGUGGAAUUCCCGGUGUAGUGGUGAAAUGCGUAGAUAUUGGGAGGAACACCAGUGGCGAAGGCGGCUACCUGGACCGGUUCUGACGCUGAGGCGCGAAAGCGUGGGUAGCAAACAGG
rnacentral:rRNA from 1 species